GUAGGUGGCAAGCGUUGUCCGGAAUUAUUGGGCGUAAAGCGCGCGCAGGCGGUCCUUUAAGUCUGAUGUGAAAGCCCACGGCUCAACCGUGGAGGGUCAUUGGAAACUGGGGGACUUGAGUACAGAAGAGGAAAGCGGAAUUCCAAGUGUAGCGGUGAAAUGCGUAGAGAUAUGGAGGAACACCAGUGGCGAAGGCGGCUUUCUGGUCUGUAACUGACGCUGAGGCGCGAAAGCGUGGGGAGCAAACAGGGAUUAGAUACCCUGGUAGUCCACGCCGUAAACGAUGAGUGCUAAGUGUUAGGGGGUUUCCGCCCCCUUAGUGCUGCAGCUAACGCAUUAAGCACUCCGCCUGGGGAGUACGGCCGCAAGGCUG
rnacentral:rRNA from 1 species